CCUACGGGAGGCAGCAGUGAGGAAUAUUGGUCAAUGGACGAGAGCCUGAACCAGCCAAGUCGCGUGAAGGAUGACUGCCCUAUGGGUUGUAAACUUCUUUUAUAUGGGAGUAAAAUGUUCCACGUGUGGGAUUUUGUAUGUACCAUAUGAAUAAGGAUCGGCUAACUCCGUGCCAGCAGCCGCGGUAAUACGGAGGAUUCGAGCGUUAUCCGGAUUUAUUGGGUUUAAAGGGAGCGUAGGUGGGUUGUUAAGUCAGUUGUGAAAGUUUGCGGCUCAACCGUAAAAUUGCAGUUGAAACUGGCAGUCUUGAGUACAGUAGAGGUAGGCGGAAUGCGUGGUGUAGCGGUGAAAUGCUUAGAUAUCACGAAGAACUCCGAUUGCGAAGGCAGCUCACUGGACUGCAACUGACACUGAGGCUCGAAAGUGUGGGUAUCAAACAGGAUUAGAUACCCUUGUAGUC
rnacentral:rRNA from 1 species